ACAAAAACAUAUUAGAGAAGGGCAAAAGGAAGUCAGAGAGAAGUUUGAAGAGAUUGAGUUUCAAUGUGAUGAACUCAAAAAGGAAACGUUCCUGAUAUCACAACAAGCUGCAAGCAAUCAGAAGCGCCUAAAUCUCAUGUUCAAAAUUUUGAAAGCACGAGAUGAGAACAAUUUUCAUGAAGCUGCCAGUCUUACCCAGUCUCUUCGAGAAUGCAUGAGAAGCAAAUCACAGAGCAAUACUCAAGUGGUUGUGGAUGCGAGUGGCACAGUUGGAAAAGAAUAACAGGAAUCAGCCAUGCAUGAAAUCCAAGAUCACUGGAAAUGGCUUUAUGGGUGUGUUUUCAAUAAUUUGGCUUGUCAUGUAAGUAACUGUUGGAGUGUUAAGAUCAAUAGCUUUCAACUGUUAGUUUGUUUUAAAAUUAAUGUUGAAUCUGCUACUUUGAUUGUUGCAAACGCUUAUGUUGAGUCUGGCUUUGCUUAUUAGCUACUGGAAUGGCCUAAAAGUUAAUAAUCUCUUUUACUAUG